UUAUUAAUAUAUAUAUAUAUAUAUAUAUAUUUUUAAACAUAUCCGAGAAGGAACAAUUGCCAUUGCAGCAUUUAAUGCUGCCUUAAUGAGUAGUAGAAAAAAAGAUGCUACAUUAAUGAAUCUUACCAAGAAAGGAUGAUGCAUUAAUGAAGUGUGGAAAAAAAAAUCCUUAUCCUUUGACACAUAUGGUGAUUAUUCUUGCAAGAUAAAUCUUUUAUAAAUGAGUACAAUUACUCACUUUCUUUCACCAAAAAAAAAAAAAAAAGAUCACCAUCAUAUAUUCUCAUUUCCCUUCACAUAAUCCCUUCACAUAAUCCCUUCACAAACCCCACAUCAAUCUCACAACAAAUCCGAGCAGGGGAAGGAAGCAAUCCAUCGAGACUUUUGCAUAUCAUAAAGACUGACAAAUUCACAAUUCUCUUUCACAAUCAAACAAAAGUACGUCCGCAAGUAAAAUCGGAACGAAAGAUUCAAGCUAAGGGAACUAAACAUUCAAGGUUGAGCAGC